GUUUUAUUUUAAUUAUUAAUAGUUUCAUUUAAGUUAUUUUGUAAAAUAGAUAUAUAUGACAAAUAUCAACUAAAUUUGAUGGAAUUGAGUAUGUCAUGUUUUUUCAGAUCCUAAAUAUCUGAAUCCGAUCCGAAAAAUUAUGGAUAUUUUAAUUAUAGAUCCGAACCGACCCGAGAAGAACCGACCUGAACCGAAAAUUUCUAAGUACCUAUUGGAUCUAAAUAUUUAGGAUCUAAAAGAAGCAGAUCCGAAAGGAACCGGCCCGAACCCAACCGGAAGACCCGAACGCUUAAGCCUAGCCGCUCCGUCGGUUUUAUCGUGGGCUUUGUUAUAGCCCAAAUACUUUUGUGGGUCGUUGUUAAAUCUCUGAGUCAAAUAAAGAAAACGUGCUUAGGUAAGACGCAUGGAAUCGGUAAAACGCCAACGAAGUCAACGACCCCAUAGAUUAGCUGUCCAUGUCCUAAAACGUCUUGAAUUUAUUUUUUUUCUUUUGUGUAAAACAACCGCCUCUCAUUUUAAAACGCCACUAAACACGUAACCUCACCCCCAAGAGAUCACAUCUCGACCGUUGAUCUUACUAUCGAAUUAUUCCAUCUCGUCCGUCUAUUAGUCCCAACACUCUGUAUAAAAAAACGCCUUGAUCUCAUUGGUUUUCAUACCCGCUUUUUUAUCGUUAUCUCUUUCAACUUUUUGUUCAUCGCUUUUCUCUAGAUCUAUCUGUUACGUCGAUUUGUUUGACGUAUUGGAAGAAUUUCCGAUUCAGUUCUGCCGUCGAUCUACGAAUCGGCGUCGUAUUCACAUGGAUCUAGUAGCUCCGGUUUGAUUCACGAUCCAGGAGACGGAUCUUAGCUGCUGAGAUCUCCGACGAUCGGUUGAAGAGCUGAUCUGAUCGAGCAUCAUGAUCUCGGCAAGCUAGGUUCGUCGGAUCUGUGAUAUGCUUUGCGGCUUGAUGAGGUGAUGAUGAGUCACCGAGAGGAGCAAUUGGAGAAGAGGGAAGAGGAUUCAGAUAUGUGAAUUGAUAAUGAGUAUGAUGGAUGUAUGAGAUGUUUGUUAAGGACGAUAUAGCCUGAUGGAUUAGGCUUGAGUUCUGAUUAGCAUCUUUGUCAUCCGACCUUUGCCAUGACAGGUGCGCUUGCAUGGCAGGUCUCCAAAUAAUAAUAAAAAUAAUUGUUUCGUGUUGGUGAGGGGAGUUCGCACGGGGGAUUUUUUUUUAAGCCCGGGUUCUCCCCCUCACCUUGUGUCUUGCUCUCUCGCUCUCUGAUUCCUUUGAUCUCGAUUCACCACAAUAUCUCUAGAUACACAGACAUAUUUUGAAUUGAUUCGGAUCUGGAGUCUAACGCGGAUAUAUCUAGAUCCAACGUACUCCACAGAGGCAAAGGUAUUUAAGUUUGAGUUUUGAUUCUCCAUUCACAUGUUUAUUCGUAGUUCAACCUAUCAUAACUCCAAAUUGAAUUUCAUUUUGCUCAUGGAGACGCUCAAAACUCACUUGUGAAAAAUAUUUAAUAUCAAGCACUUUUCAUUUUCUUUCUUUAAUAAUGCUAUAUACGUACUUCUAGUUAUUUGUUUGUAAGAACAAUGUUCUAGCAACAUGUAUCCACUUUUAUAGUAUAUAAUACAAAGAAGUACGUUAGAGUCCCAUCAAUUUGCACAAUACUGUAAGCAUGUUGUCUUGUAUGAUUGUAUCUAUGUUUUUCAUAGAGCUAAUGGCUCUGGUGACAGAAGACCUUGGAGGUAUCGCCAUCUGCCUUUAUAAUAGAUGCGAUGUUUAGCAAUGGAUAAAUCGAGCGCAUGAGUGUGUUCAUGUUGAAGCAAUGAGGUAUCUAAAUCAAGUAACUUGUCUGACUUUUUGUAUGUAAAAUUAGAUACAGUGUUUCUAUAUUGAAAAAGGGUAUUUCAUUGUUGGCAAUUUGAAGGAACCAUCGAAUAUUUAGCGAAAAUCUUACAUUGUAUUUUGCAUAAACACUUGUGCAUAAUACAUUUAUGUUGUUGUUUUGAUGUGGUAA